CACCUUCGGGUGUGAAUUAGCGGCGAACGGGUGAGGAACACGUGAAGAAUCUGCCUUCAACUCUGGGAUAACUCCGGGAAACCGGGGCUAAUACCGGAUAUGAGCCUUGAUCGCAUGAUCGGGGCUGGAAAGUUUUUCGGUUGAAGAUGACUUCGCGGCCUAUCAGCUUGUUGGUGAGGUAAUGGCUCACCAAGGCGACGACGGGUAGCCGGCCUGAGAGGGCGACCGGCCACACUGGGACUGAGACACGGCCCAGACUCCUACGGGAGGCAGCAGUGGGGAAUAUUGGGCAAUGGAGGAAACUCUGACCCAGCGACGCCGCGUGAGGGAUGAAGGCCUUCGGGUUGUAAACCUCUUUCAGUAGGGAAGAAGCGAAAGUGACGGUACCUACAGAAGAAGCACCGGCUAACUAUGUGCCAGCAGCCGCGGUAAUACAUAGGGUGCAAGCGUUGUCCGGAAUUAUUGGGCGUAAAGAGCUCGUAGGUGGUUCGAUACGUCGGAUGUGAAAAUCAGGGGCUCAACCCCUGACCUGCAUCCGAUACGGUCGAGCUAGAGUUUGGUAGGGGAGACUGGAAUUCCUGGUGUAGCGGUGGAAUGCGCAGAUAUCAGGAGGAACACCGAUGGCGAAGGCAGGUCUCUGGGCCAAUACUGACACUGAGGAGCGAAAGCGUGGGGAGCGAACAGGAUUAGAUACCCUGGUAGUCCACGCCGUAAACGGUGGGCGCUAGUUGUGC
rnacentral:rRNA from 1 species